AGCUCCGUGCGGUGGCGGUAUCAUAGCCAAUGAGGUUAAUCUGAGGCACAAUUAUUGCUAAUUGAAAACUUUACUCUUUCACAC
rnacentral:snRNA from 1 species